AGAGUGGUCGCUAGCGGUUCCGGCGUUUUCUUAUAUGGGGGCGAGCGAACGGGGAUCAGCCCAUUAAGUUAUGUGUGUUUUAGUGGAACGCUCUGGGAAGUGCGAACGUAGAGGGUGAUAUUCCCGUACACGAAAGGGCACACAUAAUGAUGACGAGUAGGGCGAGGCACGUGAAACCUUGUCUGAAUAUGGGGGGACCAUCCUCCAAGGCUAAAUACUCCUGACUGACCGAUAGUGAACCAG
rnacentral:rRNA from 1 species